GAAAGGAAUAUUAGAAUAGAACUGAUCCUAAAGUUCUUAUAACCCUCUCUAUAAUAUACAAUGGCUAGCAACAGCAAGGCUCUGAUCACUGUCCUCUUCUUUCUCUUCUUACUCUCAACUCAACCCGUCGUACCUUCAGCAGCAAGAAAGAUCCUGGCGACAAGAGACUCCAAGCCUUACAAAGAGCAGAUGAAAAGGAGAGGACUUAAGCAUGUCGGGUGUCAAAAUUACAAAGUGGAUUAUGUACCCGCUGAUCCAGGUGAAGGUUCAUGUGGUGGUUGAGAUAUUGGUUGCUGUUUGCAAUUUACAUCUGCCGCCCAGAUUUGUGACCGUCAAACCAUUUCGUAGAAGUUGCUGAUUCACAUUUCCUUCUUCUAAAGCAAGUCGAUUUUGACACCUGAACAAGUUAAAACGGGUUAUGCUACAAUUGUAGCAUAAUGUUACUUUUCAUGUGGAGAAGACUUCUUACUCCAUAGAUGUUUACCAGCAAAAGAGACGUGUUAUGUGUUGAAUAGUAGUCAAACUGGAAACCAAUUUAUCAAAAUACAAUUUAGCGUAUUAAAUUUCUAUUAUUUGAUCAUAAUAUUAAUAAAAAUUAUUAACUUUUCACGCUGAACGCCUUUUUUGCUUCCA